AAACAAUCAACAGAAAAUUUCACAGAGAGAUGUUAUAUAAGGUUUUUAAAUGUCAGAGGUUGCUGUGUGGAGGUGAGGAAGAAAGUGGACCCAAACGCAGGACUCACAGUGCAGGAUAAGGGUGUUUAUUGGAGGGAAUAGAAUGAACAGAUUGAGAGAUGAAUAACUGACUGGCUGACUGGCUGACUGACGGGAAGACUGGCUGAACUAAGAACACGGUAACAACAUUACAUAAAUGACAAGACAAAGAACUGGAGGAAACUGAGGACUUAAAUGCAUUGACUAAAGAAGACGAUAGGAGACCGAAACUGCAGGCUGCAGCCCAUUAAAGGUGCUCCGCCCUCACCGUGAAUUCAUCACAGUAGCAUGGCGACUUUUUCAGCCAGCGAAUCACUAAGUGUGCUACAGAGGAAGUGAUGAAGCAGAUGGUCUUAGUCUGUCGUCCAGACGUUUAGUCGACGUCCAGACAAGAUGAAGACCCCAUCUAUCUCUCCACUCCUCGGUGUGUGUGUGCUGCUGCUGUCUGCACCGACUGUUUCUGCAGUGUCUCUGUCUGUCAGUCCAAACCUUCAGCAGUUCUUCAGUGGAUCUUCUUCAGUGUAUCUGAGUUGUGUUGAUGAUGGACAGACAGCUGAUGGAUGGACAGUGAAGAGGACCAGAGGAGGACUCACUGAGGACUGUGGAGCAGCUGCUUCAGAGUUUAGUAGGAUUAACAGUUCCUUCUGUGUUUUCGGUCUCUCCACUGGUGGAAAUUUCCUGUGUGUAAGCUCAUCUGGACAUCAGAGUGAUGAAGUCUCCAUCAGUGUCUCAGAUAAAGAUGUGAUCCUGGAGAUUCCUGCACUUCCUGUCAUGACAGGAAGUGAUGUCACUUUGUACUGUACACCCAAAGAGGGAGAAAGACGAAAAUCUUACUUCUUCAGAGAUGAUGUUAAACUUGGAUCUGGACCUGAAGGAAAGUGGAAUCUCUCUAAAGUCCAGCGGUCUGAUGAAGGUCUCUACUCGUGUCAUACUGAUAUUCAUCCACGUUCUCCUCAGAGCAGACUGAGGGUCAGAGAUCUCUCUCCUGUAGAUCCUCCUCCCACCACAACUUCUCCUCUUCUUCUCACUACUUUCCCUCCCUCCUCUUCCUCUCCACACUCUUCCUCCUCCCUUCCUCUUUAUCUCCUGUUCCUCCCUGCAGUCCUGGUCCUGGUCCUGGUUGGAGGUGUGGUUCUGUGGAGGAAACAGAGAGUAACCAAGACUUCACCUGCUCCUGAAGAAGUGACCUAUGCUGAUAUCAACAUCAGACAGAAGAAGAAGAGGCGAGAAAACCAUUCUCUUGAUCCAGAUACAGUCUACUCUGCUGUGAGGACACACACUGCAGGCCCUUCUGAGGUCACUUAUGGCCAAGUUCAAAUCAGAUCUCAGAGACCUGCGGGCAGAAAUACUGAGUACCCAGCUGAUCCAGAUGUUGUGUACUCAUCAGUGAGAGCAGGAAAAUGAAGAUAAACAGCUGGAGGAGCUUCACGUCUUUCCAACCUGAAUCUUUUAUUUUGAGUGUAACUCUAUUCUGCUAGAUAUGCUGUUUGCUCUGCUGUGUUUUACCACCUUGCUCGUCUCCUUUAUAGUGUAACUUCUUCCUUUCGGCACAAGUUUAGAUCUAUGAGUACUUGAACAGUGAGCCACAGAGCAUUUUAAAGAGUGCAUAUCUUGAGAAUCCACUUCUAAUUUGUUAUGAGAGUUUUAUCAACUCUGAGGUGUAAAAUUUUAAAAUCUGAAGCUCCUCUGGCAACUGGACCGUCUCCAGGUUUUAAACCACUGAGAGCAUCCUGGCUUUAAGAAAACAGAUGACCAAUAGGACUUGAGCUAAAUAUUCAAGUCACAACCCCUUGCUGAUCAUCUCUUUGUCUGUCAGCGCUAAGCAGAACAUCACAGCGUAGUGUACAGCAGUAUUCAAAAUGUUUUCUCUCAGUUUAACUGCAGGGCUGUGAGCUGCUGUUAUACAUCUGUCUGUAAAGAGGAAUGGAUGCAGCUGUCUUAGUCAUAGCCAUCAAACAGACAACCUGCUGCUACCUCAAUUAACUAAUUAAUUCAGUAUCAGAGUGAUGUGUUGAGCAGGUUUUAUAUGUUCCACAUCCAUGUUUCUUCUUCUCUGUGAUGUAAAUCUAAUCCUUGUAAAGUCAUCUGCAUACCUGUGUGUUUUCUGUGCUUGUUCACAGUCAUGCUUAGAGAAUUUAGAUUGCAAUGCAUCAACAACACCUGCAGUGUUGUUAAUAUGAUGAUUUAGUUAUCUCUUCCUUUGG